AUGCUUCGUCCCUCUCGAUCUCAAUUCAAACAAGACCGUCGCACCAGCACAUCCACGGCGGCGGCUGCAGCGGUCCUUGCUCAGAAACACAAAUGUUUUAUGUCAAACGCUUCGUACUUCCUGACUCCAAAUCCGUGGUCCUUUUUUUCCAUUUUCUACUCAACGAAGAAAUCCAAAGAUCUUCACCAAUCAUCCAGAUCUGCUUGGUUAAUUGCACUUGUUCUUUUUUCUGCUUUGGCAUAG